rnacentral:tRNA from 1 species
GGGGGUUUAGCUCAGUGGCACUGUGCCUGCCUUGUAAGCCCAAGGUCCUGAGUUCAAUCCUCAGUACCCCCC